rnacentral:rRNA from 1 species
UUUCCGGUUGAUCCUGCCGCCGGCCACCGCUAUCAAGUUCCGACUAAGCCAUGCGAGUCAAGGUAUCGUAAGAUGCCGGCAAACUGCUCAGUAACACGUGGAUAAUCUAACCUUGAGUAAGGGAUAACCUCGGGAAACUGAGGAUAAUACCUUAUAAUUGCUUAAAACUGGAAUGUUUAAGCAAUAAAAGUUCCGACGCUCAAGGAUGAGUCUGCGACCUAUCAGGUAGUAGGUGGUGUAAUGGACCACCUAGCCUCAGACGGGUACGGGCCCUGGGAGGGGUAGCCCGGAGAUGGACUCUGAGACAUCAGUCCAGGCCCUACGGGGCGCAGCAGGCGCGAACACUGUGCAAUGCGCGAAAGCGCGACACGGGGAGCUUGAGUGUCUUGGCAUAGCCAAGACUUUUCUCAUUCCUAAAAAGCAUGAGGAAUAAGUGCUGGGUAAGACGGGUGCCAGCCGCCGCGGUAACACCCGCAGCACAAGUGGUGGUCACUUUUAUUGAGCCUAAAGCGUUCGUAGCCGGUUUUGUAAAUCUUUAGAUAAAGCCUGAAGCUUAACUCCAGAAAGUCUGAAGAGACUGCAAGACUUGAGAUCGGGUGAGGUUAAACGUACUUUCAGGGUAGGGGUAAAAUCCUGUAAUCCCGGAAGGACGACCAGUGGCGAAAGCGUUUAACUAGAACGAAUCUGACGGUAAGGAACGAAGGCUAGGGUAGCAAACCGGAUUAGAUACCCGGGUAGUCCUAGCUGUAAACACUGCCCAUUUGAUGUUGCUUUUCCGUUGAGGGAAGGCAGUGUCGGAGCGAAGGCGUUAAAUGGGCCGCUUGGGAAGUAUGGUCGCAAGACUGAAACUUAAAGGAAUUGGCGGGGGAGCACCGCAACGGGAGGAAUGUGCGGUUUAAUUGGAUUCAACGCCGGA